GAUCAGUUUGAUACUUGAAAGCAAGAACUCGAAUGGGUGUAAACAUCUAUACAACAUUCACUGUACAAUGAGAUCCAAAGGUGCUAAAUGUCCACAGUGCAGUUUGUCCUUCCCAGGUGGCGUUGAAUUAUUCUAGUACCUUGAGAGAUGACUACAAGACUUCCAUUAUCAACAGGAAUAGAUGAGGUAAUUUAAAGAAAUCUCUGGAAAAAAUAGAGAAGCCCAUGCCAAGUUCAUCUUAAAGACUUAUAUGGAGGCAUGAAGCUGCAAUGAGAUAAAGGCAUUAUCUACUUGGGAACAGAGUAAAAUCAGACAUCAGGGGAGUUAAGUGCAGAAUGUAGUGUACUUAUCCCUGGAAGAGUUCCCAGCUUUGAGAGCUGUGUGUGAGUUGCUGAAUAUGGAGAAGCCAUAAGAGCAAUGUUAUACAUGAGUAGAAAAAGAUUGAAAGCCCAGGCUAUCAAAAGGAUACCCUUAGCUUUUAUUUGGUAGUCCAGAGACUAGCUCACUUAUUCAAGUACACUCACAUGCUUCAUAAUGACCUUUCGGCCAGAGGUAUGCUACAGGUAUGAUUGCUGUGCUGUACACCUAAAAAAUUCUUUGCACUUGAUGAAAUCAUGGUUGCUGUAAUAUACCGUAAUGCACAACUUAUAUGCUUGUGGUAUGCUGGUAUGAGAAAACCUGCUCUGCCAAUCAUAUAAAAGUACAGCUAUAUAAUUACACAUUAUUGUACAUUGCUGUGACCUUCCUGGCUGGGGUCUGGAGCUCUGACUGGGUAGUAAGGUAAUGGAGAAAAAGAUAAGCUGGGUCAGGUGGUCUGUGCUAUCCUGAGGCCACACAUCCCACUGUGAACAACCUGGAAUCUCAGCAUGCAUCAGUACCUUUUUAUUAUGUAGAGCAUGGAUUUGGGGUGGAGAUGGGGGCAGAAGUUACUUGUCUUGGUAGGAGGUCUCUGUAGGCGAGCAGUCUCGGGCCUUAAAUGUUCAGCAGAAAGAAGCUGCAGUUGCUAGUAUUAGCACCAGUCUGAUCAAUUCUUUGUAAGCACUAGAACUUGGGUCAGUAUAAACCAGGUUUGGGGGCAUGCAUUUGCUUCGGCACUGCAUGGCUGAGGAGGUAUGAUAGUAAGAAGUUUGAGAGCAGCCUGGGCUAUGUGAUGAGUUUAGGCCUAGUCUGGGGUACAUAGUCUAAGGUCCAAGCAUCUGCUCUCCCGAUGACUGCCACUCAGGGUUACUCAUCUGUGAGUCAUUUUGUACUGAAGCUGUUGAACGAGGUGAGUUUCUUAGGCUCUGGAGGAGCAGCACUGCAAUACUUUCCAAAUUAUCUUCCCCUGGAUGUGUGUACACUUAAGAGUGGUAGAGUUUACUGGCUACUGGCAUGCUCAAGGGUGGAUUCACAUUGUUUGUGGCAAAGUUCUGUUGCUAUUUAGGCAUUCCUGUUAACCCCAAGAAGGUGCGUCUCGCUGCCUUAUUUUUUUGUGGAUCCAGAUUUCUUGCUUUGUAGCUUGGCUACUCAAACCAUUACUUGAGUCUGAAUGUAUUUUUUGUUGUUUUUUCUUUCCACUUCUUUUUUGUAUUAUUAUUUUUAUUAUUAUAUUUAACACAAUACAUAUUUUCUACCAGUCAUAAAAAUGAUGGGCACGUUAUUAAAUGAACAUAAAAAGAUAAAGUUUUUUUGUUUCUUUGUUUGUUUUGUUUUUAGUAAACAUUAAAAUCUUGGCUUUUACUGUGGUACAACCCCAAAAUAAGAACAAGUUUUAGACAUUGGAGUUCAUUGUAAUAAGGCUGUACUUCAAUGUACCUCACACCAACAAAGGAUUUUACCUCCUUAGUAACUAAGAUUUGACUGCUACUGCACCAAGGAAUGAAUUGUAGGCACAAUUAUUCGAAUACAGAUUUCCUGCUAUGGUCAAAGCUAUUUGACUUGAGUGAUUGUCAUCAUUCUCAGCCCACAGGGAACAGGUUACAUUCAUAUAAGAAAUGGUGUGUGUAUUAAGAUGGUCUAUCCAUGAAGUCAUUCAUCAAGUGUUUCAAUGAACAAUGGUUCUGCUUGGAGGGAGGCACAGACAUUAGGUGAGGGUAAGAUUCUAGUUCAUUGGCUGUGAUGAUUUUGAAAAGUAGUCAUCUCUGGAAAAGAGUAACUUACAAGGUCAUCUUCUUCAAAGUUGAUAGAAUAAUUUAAAUAUCAAGCAAAACAUUCUGUCUCACUCUGUUGUUCUCUUACAAACCACCUCCCUAACUAAUUGUCUAUGUUUCUUUUGGCUAUAUAGAUACUUUUGAAAUAUGUAAGCUGUUCUGAAAACCAUAUUAUAAUGUAAAAGCAUCAAAUAAACAAUCCCACUACUAGAGAGGGAGAGAUAGGGGAAGCAUGAUUUCAAGACCAUCAUGUGAUACACAGUAAGGUACUAUCAUGUACAAACAAGCAGAAAGUGUAUAUGGACUGUACAAUAUUGGACCUAUUUCUCAAAUUACCAAAUUAAAGAGACCACUGGGUGACAGCCAACAAAUUUCUAAUUCCUCAUAUUUUUGAAUUUCAAUCCAUUAGGAUAUGUUGGUAAUAUUAAUUUUCAUAUUGAGAGAUAUUAAGGAAAAGUGAUUGUUACUUUCUGUUAUUUUUUGUUGUUAUUAUUGUUUGUUUGUUGUUAUAUUUGUGUGGCUAUCUUCUUUUGGGUUUGUUGAAAGAAUACUUUCUUGCUUUUUCUAGGGUGUCUCUGCUUGUUGGUAAUUUCCAUCUAAUAUCUUUCAUAGGGCUGGAUUUGUGGAAAGAUAUUGUGUAAAGUUGAUGUUUCAUGGAAUAUCUUGUUUUCUCUGUCUAUGGUAAUUGAGAGUUUUGCUGGAUAUAGUAGGCUGGGCUGGCAUUUGUGUUCUCUUAGGGUCUGAAUGACAUCUGCCCAGGAUCUCCUAGUUUCCUAGUCUCUGGUGAGAAGUCUGGUGUAAUUCUGAUAGGUCUGCCUUUAUAUGUUAUUUGACCUUUUCCCCUUGCUGCUUUUAAUAUUCUUUCUUUGUUUAGCGCACUUGAUGUUUUGACUGUUCGGUGACAGGAGGAAUUUCUUUUCUGGUCCAGUCUAUUUGGAGUUCUGUAGGCUUCUUGUUUGUCCAUGGGCAUCUCUUUCUUUAGGUUAGGGAAGUUUUCUUCUAUGAUUUUGUUGAAAUUAUAGAAUAAGAUAUUUACUGGCCCUUUAAGUUGGGAAUCUUCGCUGUCUUCUAUAACUAUUAUCCUUAGGUUUGUUCUUCUCCAUUGUGUCCUGGAUUUCCUGGAUGUUUUGGGUUAGGAGCUUUUUGCAUUUUGCAUUUUCUUUGACUGUUGUGUCAAUGUUUUCUAUGGUAUCUUCUGCCUCUUUGAUUCUCUCUUCUAUCUCUUGUAUUCUGUUGGUGAUGCUUGCAUCUAUGACUCCUCAUCUCUUUCCUAGGUUUUCUAACACUGGGAUUGUCUCUCUUUGUAAUUUCUUUAUUGUUUCUACUUCCAUUUUUAGAUCUUGGAUGGUUUUGUUUAUUUCCUUCACCUAUUUGAUUGUGAUUCCUGUAGUUCUUUAAGAGAUUUUUCGUUUCCUCUUUAAAGGCUUCUACCUGUUUACCUGUGUUCUCCUGUAUUUCUUUAAAGGAGUUAUCUAUGACGUUCUUAAGGUACUCUAUCAUCAUCAUCAUGAGAAGUGAUUUUAGAUUAGAAUCUUGCUUUUCCUGUGUGGUCGUGUAUCCAGGACUUGCUAUGGUGGGAGAAUUGGGUUCUGAUGAGGCCAAGUAACCUUGAUUUUUGUUGCUUUUGUUCUUCUGCUUGCCUCCUGCCAUCAGGUUAUCUCUAGUGCUACCUGUCCUCGCUAUAUCUGACUGGAGCCUGCCCUUCUUAUGAUCCUGGUUGUAUCAUAACUCUUCAGAGUCAAGCUGUCUUAGUGAUCCUGUGAUUCUGAGAUCCUGUGAUACUGAUAUCCUGGGUGUGACCAAACUCCUAGGAGUCAAGCUACCUCUGGGACCUGGAGAUCCUGGUGUGACCAAGCUCCUGUGUUCCUGUGUUCCUGUGUUCCCGUGAUCCUGUGAUCCUGUGAUCCUGGGCAUGUUAAAAUGCCUGGGAGUGGGGCUUCCUCUGGGUGCUGUGGGGCUGGCUGCAGAGUUUGCACCCAAGGUCUGCUCAGGGCAUUGGCCCAGAUUGGAAGAAACCUGUGCCACUGGGUUGGGCAGAGAUCAUGUGUUCCUGGGUCCUGCUUGUCCCACUUACUCCUGGUGUUGGAGAGUCUGAAUUUAUUCUAAGUCUAGGUACACAUUACAACAAAGUUACUUCAUAAGGCCUUUGAGUUUGACAUGAAACCAAUAAUGAAGCUGGCAUUGCUGUAUAUAUGCCCAUCAUUCAGUGCACUUAAAGUUUUGUUAGCAAUGUCUCCUCUAAUUUGGGACUAUACUCUCUUUGCUAACUACAUCACUCUGGGUCUCAUCUCCUUGUGGGAUGAGGAAGAAAUUAACAAAUAUAUGUAAAACAUUUAGAAUGAGACUUGAUGUCUCAGAUCUAGUCCAGGUAAGGGAUAUGUGUUUGUAACAGUUCAUAUCAAAUGUUUGCACAUAUGGAUAUGUGUGUGUAACAGUUCAUAUCAAAUAUUUGCACAUGUGGACAUGUGUGUGUAACAGUUCAUAUCAAACGUUUGCACAUAUGGAUAGUCACUUUAGUUGAAAGGGGUCCAUUUGAUCCUUCACAAUUGAAAAUGGAAUUUAAAAUGCUUUGAAAGUCUGCCCCAUUUCCGUGUGCCCCUCCCCAUUUAGUGUUUUUUUCCUGGGGGCCCAGAGUAUAAAUGCUGCAAGUAAGAUAGGAGCAGGAAAGCUGGCCGAGAAUGAGAAGUCGGCCUAAGAUUGAGACCUGUUUGAAACAGCUCCAUUUCACGUAGGGCCUAUUCUGCAAGGAUAUCUCUCGUGUUUACUACAGCCACAUAAACUGGACCAAUGCAUUUAGGAAUUCUUAAAGAAGGAUAUUUUUCUAGAGAUAAUGACACAUGUCUAAAAUCAGUGCUUCAGAGUUCAAGACAGGAGGAUUGAAAGUUUCAAGCCAGUCUGGGCUACAAAGUGAAACACUAGCUACAAAAUAUAAAAU
rnacentral:lncRNA from 1 species